AGUGAACGCUGGCGGUAGGCCUAACACAUGCAAGUCGAACGGCAGCACAGUAAGAGCUUGCUCUUACGGGUGGCGAGUGGCGGACGGGUGAGGAAUACAUCGGAAUCUACUUUUUCGUGGGGGAUAACGUAGGGAAACUUACGCUAAUACCGCAUACGACCUACGGGUGAAAGCAGGGGAUCUUCGGACCUUGCGCGAUUGAAUGAGCCGAUGUCGGAUUAGCUAGUUGGCGGGGUAAAGGCCCACCAAGGCGACGAUCCGUAGCUGGUCUGAGAGGAUGAUCAGCCACACUGGAACUGAGACACGGUCCAGACUCCUACGGGAGGCAGCAGUGGGGAAUAAUGGACAAUGGGCGCAAGCCUGAUCCAGCCAUACCGCGUGGGUGAAGAAGGCCUUCGGGUUGUAAAGCCCUUUUGUUGGGAAAGAAAAGCAGCAGGUUAAUACCCCGCUGUUCUGACGGUACCCAAAGAAUAAGCACCGGCUAACUUCG
rnacentral:rRNA from 1 species